CUGGAAAAGCAUCUAAAUAUGAAUUGUAAUCAAAGAGAAAACAACAAAGAACUCAGGAUGAACAAAAGCUAGAGGUGUACGGUUCAGAAGGUAAACUGCAGCAUGAAGACCACCUAUGUUCACCCAGACAGUGUGCACUUUGCGCCACACAUGUUCCAUUCCAGAUAAUGCCUGUGUACACACAAAAGGCAUAAAAGUAAUUAGCUUUAA